GUCUACGGCCAUACUACCCUGAACCAGCCCGAUCCUGUCUGAUUUUGGAAGCUAAACGGAGUGGGACCUGGUUAGUACUUGGAUGGGAGACCACCUAGGAAGAUCAAGUACUAUAGGCA
rnacentral:rRNA from 1 species